UAGCCUUUUUGUUCCCGUUCGAUUCGUG
rnacentral:sRNA from 1 species